rnacentral:rRNA from 1 species
UACGUAGGGUGCGAGCGUUGUCCGGAAUUAUUGGGCGUAAAGAGCUUGUAGGCGGUUUGUCGCGUCUGCUGUGAAACUCCGGGGCUCAACCCCGGACUUGCAGUGGGUACGGGCAGACUAGAGUGUGGUAGGGGAGACUGGAAUUCCUGGUGUAGCGGUGAAAUGCGCAGAUAUCAGGAGGAACACCGAUGGCGAAGGCAGGUCUCUGGGCCACUACUGACGCUGAGAAGCGAAAGCAUGGGGAGCGAACAGG